rnacentral:rRNA from 1 species
UAAGCACGGUAACGUGUUCAGGCGAGCUGUACUAAUAACCCGAACGGCUUGA